UCAUGGCCUGGGGGCCGGGUUGUGGGGGGGAAGCUAUCUCUGCGCUCUCCACUCUGGUUAAAGCACCAAGGGAUGCCUACCCUGGGAUACUACCGUCCUCUACAGGGGGACAGUUAUAAGCUUCUGUUGGCAUACGGUGGAUGAUUGGAGUGACCGAGAUCGAGAAAGGCUCCAACUAUGGCAACAAUGAUAUGAAAUUGAAAAAAUGACCCACACACGCAAAUGGAGAUUGGUAGUACCAUUUAAAGGGAACAAAUAUAGUUUUGGAGAUGGAUUGUCAUGGCAAAUAUUGGGUCAAGGGGAAGCUGCAUCUCAAUUACUACAUGCAGAUUGCUCUUCAGAGUUGACAUCAUCUGCACAUAAGGAUAGAUUGGUAAUCCUAUAUGGUGCUGUAUGUGAUGUGUGAAGGAUUCACAAAGUAACAAGAAAAGUCAAAUCGGAAAUAAAGAAUGUUGCACCAACAGCGUCACUUAAAUAUCUGACGUGGCUUGCGGUAUUUUCACAAAUGUUUCCAUCUAAUUGGAGUUUGCUUUGGAAGCUGGUGUCACAAAAUAAUUCAGUUUUUUUUUAAAAAUUAACAAUGUGGUUCUAACUUAUUCAAAUGUAUUUUACUGAAUAAGUCAUUGUUGCGGGAAAGUGGGGGGGUGGGAGGGGAGGAAGCAGGCGGUGUCUUGUCACUACUAAGUGCUGAUGUAUAAAUAUAUUUUGUAUACUUUGCCCAGAGAGGAGGGAGGGAUUUUUCAAAUUAUAUGAACCAAGUGGGCAAGGAUUUUAAAUAACUUAGGGUUUGUAUCCACGUGGUUGUGUCUGCAGUGAGCACUAAGCAGCGGUGAGGCACUUUCCCUGCAGGGAGGGAAGAUUGUUGGGGAUGUUCACUCCAGGCUGCUCUGGCAAAACCCACUCCAAAAGUUAGCAGAGGUCUGUAAAUGUGCUGUUUGUUUUGCCUUAUUUGGGGGAAUGAUGAGCAGCUCAGGGUGGGGCAAAACCCCUAAAAUAUGGGGAUAAAGAGUUUAAAUGUGAUUAUGAACUGUGGUAUGGUGGGUGAAUCUGUAACAAUAAUUUAGUCCAAAAUACCCUGCAGUUCAUUUCUAACUUAAAUUGUUAAAUAAUAUGAAUUUAAAGGGAAGAUGAAAUGUAAUAAAUUAAGUUUCAACAACAAUGCAUAAAAGUGGUAUUUUCAUUUCUGUAUACAUUGGCCUGCUCAGAGUCUUAAGUUUCAAUAAGUGGGGUGCUCCUGAAAAUCAGACAGCUUUGGACUUUGACCCAAUGCUAGUAAAUGUUGCUGUGCUUGCGACCAGUGUGAUUUCUGAUUCUCACAGGACUCUUGGGAACCUGGCAAUAAAUUAUGUUGCAUGGGUCAUAUUGUCAUUGGGAUGUCACUAAGACAUCAUUUGAAGAUUAGUUGUUGCUUGCCCUGUUGUAAUAGCAAACAAGCACGUGGGUAGAUCUAAUGUUAGUUUCAAAAUCCUGGUUUGAAUUGAUAUAGUAUGUACCUUGAAUUGAACUACCUUUUAAGUUGGGUGAGUGUAAUCUCACUCACUGCCGAUUGCCCAGCAGCUUGUUUCAGUGGUGAUGGACGGAGAGAUGUGUUCUAUAGUUCUUCACCUUCUGCUAGCCAUAUUGGUCUUGUUUUACAAUUAGUAUCAGAAUGAGUUGUAGUAAUGCAGUAAUUCUCUAUGCAGUUAGGAACUCACUUACUAAAGUGGGCAAGUCUUAGAGAUGUAAUUGCAGUGUUUUUUUUCUACAAAAAAGACACAUGCAAACUCAUCAAAUAAAGGGAAAAAAUUGUUACAAAUCAUGGAUCGAUGAAAAAACAAAACUAGUGUUAAAUUUCACUGGACUUGAAUACUGUAAACCUGUCAGAACAUCUGCAUAUUGUCAGUUUACAGCAAGAGCUUUAACAUACUUGUUCACUAAUCUCAUACAUGAAUGUACUGGGUUACUUUUCUUUCUCUUCCCUCGACAUUUGUCUACAGAUAUGUUACUGCACAAGCAACGUCUUAUUCAUAGGGAAAUUGGUAGAAGAAAAGUGUAAAUGUAAGUAUUGAAAUUGUUAAAUGGUGAGAAUGCACAGAUGAGUUCUCAUUGCAGCCCAUUUGUGUGUGGAUACUACGGCUUUCAGAAACUGAUUGCUACAAUAACAUAGUUGGAAUGUUUUGCAUCCAAAAUGUAUUGGUGGUAAAAGACCAUCCUCACAUGAUGCACCCAAUUUUGGCUCAGAGGGAGAAAUAAGUGUCCAUUUCUACAUUCAAAAAAGUUAAAACAGCAUUUGAAAUGCUGUUUUGUUAUUGUUGCAUCUCAGCAAGCUGAAACAUUACUAGCUGAGUGAUUUGAAGUAAAAACCCAAAUCACAAACAAGGUCUUUCAGACCAAUGGCUUCCAAAUGUCCCAACUACCUCUUUGAGCAUGUUAACAAAAUGUUUAAAGGUGCUUCUUCUUAAAAAACUGAUUUGAUUGAAGUAAAUGUCUGAGAUUAUGCAGAAUGUCAGUCAAAUAUUUAUUAACUUUCUAGCAAAAUUUACAAAUACUGCAAAAUGAAGCUGAAUCCCAUAAAACUUGGCGUGGAGAAAGGCUAUCUUUCCAAAGUUUAUGCUCUUUAGUGUUUUAUAAAUGCAUAAAUGUGAAGUUGGGAUAUACAACUCAUAAGUACAUUUCACACAAUGUUUUGGGUGUAAUCGUGCCAUCUGCUGCCAGAGACAGGUAUUACACAUGCUAUUUUAAUUCUUUUGAUGAGAAUUUCUUUGAAGGGAAAUUGCCUUUCCCCUCAUUCUUCCCCUAUUUCUGGUUUAUUGCGUUGUGUAUUCUAAUUUAUGGGGAGACAACUUUAUUGUGAUAUUCUCCUGUUAACAGUGUGACAGUUGGUAAACUGGAAAAUAUUAAUUUGAAAAUGCAUUUUGUUACACGGAUCUUAACAUUUUAAUAAAAAUGGCCAAAACAAAGGAGUACAUUCACCAAGUGAUGCUGUGGCAAUAAUUGAGAUGAAGUGUACAUUCUCUAGUUGAAGCCAUUGUCUGUGAAGGAA